GAAACCAAGAAUCUCUUUGCCUUUUGGCUUAGAUCAAGUGUAGUAUCUGUUCUUUUCAGUGUAACAACUGAAAUGACCUCAAUGAGGAUCAUUACCUUAACUAUUUUGUUACAACACGAUUUUUUUGCACAUGAAAACUUUUCUGGUUGUGGGCAGGAUUUAUUUUUGGGAGUC
rnacentral:snRNA from 1 species